AAGAAAAAAUCCCCUCGUUAUCUUUCAUCUCCCUCUCGCUUCGGCUCUCGGUCUCCAUCUCUCACCUAAAAAUCUAGCACCAUGGGAAUACUUUCUCUUGAUUCUUCUGAAAUCCCUCAAGUAGAUUUCAAACCUGUUGGUAAUAGAUUUCGUCAGUGCUUCUUCACGAUUGAAAUUCAAUUUCUUUUUGAUUGAAUCCAUGUUUUUUUGUUUUCAUCUUUAUGGGUUUUGUCGAAAUCUAACUGCUUCAAAUAAAUAAUGAUUACUGUUGAAUUUUUUCAUUUUAGGUUUCGAGAAAUUUGAGAUGUUCUUUGAUUUCUUCGAUCUAUUCAGAUCUAGCUUUUCAUGGUUUUGUUAGGGCUUUCAGAUUUUACUUCUCGGUCUUCAAUCUGAGAAGAUUUAGAUUCUAGGAUUUCAAAUAUUGUAUUAGGUUGAUUUAAAACUCAUGUUCGUUAAUUUGAUUUUACACUCCUGCAGAUUUUGACUUCCAAUUCGAAAGGUUAGUUGUUAAGAUAUUAAAGUGUGAUUCUAUUGUCUAACAUUUAAACCAUUUUUCAGAUGUUGUUGCUUGCGUUACUUUGCAGCCUUUGUCUGAAUUGCAGAGCAUUUUGCUUCCUCUGUAGAUCCCAGUGAUUCAUGUUGGUGAAGAUGGAGGCAUGCAUGUUUGUAUAAUGGAUGAUGUUUGCUCUCUAAGCUGAUUCAAUCUUAGAUAAUUUGCAUAUUGAUAAGGGUGUUUAAUUUGCAGGAGCUUCUAUUUGAGAAAGUGAAUGUUGAAACAUCGUCAAACUGUGAUUCCCCAAUAGACAUCAUCAGAUGGCAAAGUGAAUGUACAUCGAUCAAUUGUUCUUGAUCACUGUUCUGGGUUGAUUGUCAUUCUGUAGCUUUCCUGCCAACUGAGGUCAACGUUCAACCAAAAUCCAAACACAUCAGUUGUUCAGAUUGAAGGAGAACACAAGGGAAGAAGUAUAAUGGUAUAAAUGCUGGUAUAGGAUGGCUUACAGUUACAAGGCUAAGAUGAAGACAAAAUUAUCAUUGAUGCAUCUGAACAUUGGUUAUGUGGUUUGCUUAUGAAGAUGUUAGAAGUUGAACAUCCAGAUGCUAAGGGUUUAAGCAGUGGAUCAUGCUAUGCAGAGAUCUUUAAUGUAAAGGUAGUGUGAAUGCAACUUUCAUGACAGACCACACAGCUCGAUGGAAGUAUGAGUUGGACAGAAAGCAAGUUAGUGUACGGUUUACCCGAACUCGAUGGAAGGAGAAGUGUGGUCACUUAGUUAUGCAGGGAAACAGUUUCUGAGGUUCUACAAUGUGGAUGAUGGAUUGUUACAGGUUGGCAGGCAUACAACUAUUUCAGUGGCAAGAUGCUGCUAAAAAAACUUGUUGAACCUGGACUUAACUUGACGGACUCUUUACUAGGAUUAAUUAUGGAUACCAGUUCAAAUUGAAAUUGUCAAAUUGUUUCGAUACACAGUUACUCGAUUGUCUAGUGUGGGCUCAGUUCAUCAUUUGGGAUGAAAGGCUGCUGGAAGUGAAGGGGAAAGCAAGUUUGUGUGUAAUGCUGAGAAUGCUUUAGAACUCAUUUGUUAACCAUGGAGGUUACUAUUGAAGCUCAGAAUCCAUCUCUCAUCAAAUGUAUUAUGCAUGUGAUUGUGGAGAGCCUCAAAUACAGGUUGCAAACAAGGUGCACAAUAAUGAAGUGCUGGGUUAGUUCAUUUUACUGCAGGUGUAUCAAGUGUGUGGGGUUAGUUUGAUACCAGACAGUUUAUCAUUUUCCUUUUGCACUUUUCUUUAGGACACUUUGAACUUAUUGGGGAUAGUAUUAGAUGAAUUCAGAAUGAUACUAUGAAUUGAACUUAUGAGGAUUUGUAUUGGUCUGGAUUCAGAAUUUGAAUUUAUAUGAAUCUAUAUGAUUUUCAAUCCAAGUGUAAUUGAUUUAUAAAUUGUGUAAUGAAUACAUUGAAUGAUUAUGGAAAAGGCAUCUUAAAUUUACGAGUACAA